UUUACAUUCUUGGAGAAAGAAGCUCUCUGUUUGCCCAUAGAACAAGUAUGGACCCAACUUCCUCACACUCCCUCUCAAAUGUGUCACCAGCCUGACUAUGGAGUGGCCAUCUCUAGAGGGAGAGGAAAAUUCAGUCUCUAUGCCCAUUCAAUUCUGGGCUCCU
rnacentral:sRNA from 1 species